CGACUCUUGUGCCCAGCGGCGGGCCCUAA
rnacentral:sRNA from 1 species